UACGUAGGGUGCGAGCGUUAAUCGGAUUUACUGGGCGUAAAGCGUGCGCAGGCGGCCCGUUAAGACAGGUGUGAAAUCCCUGGGCUCAACCUAGGAAUUGCGCUUGUGACUGGCGGGCUCGAGUACGGUAGAGGGGGGUGGAAUUCCUGGUGUAGCAGUGAAAUGCGUAGAGAUCUGGAGGAACACCGAUGGCGAAGGCAGCCCCCUGGGCCUGUACUGACGCUCAUGCACGAAAGCGUGGGGAGCAAACAGG
rnacentral:rRNA from 1 species